rnacentral:rRNA from 1 species
UUUGGGAGAAUGUAUAGCUUUGGCUAAUUAUAUUUGUUUUAAUUGAUGAAAGAUAAAUUAAAUAUUAAAAUGUUGAUUAAUUUAUUAAUUAAUAUUGCUCAUGUUUUAACGAGUUUGUCGUAUAAAGUUCUAGAUAGAAUACUGAUUAUGACAAUUUACUAUCUAUGUGUCUUGACCAAAUUACGUGCCAGCAGUCGCGGUAAUACGUAGAAGACUAGUGUUAUUCAUCUUUAUUAGGUUUAAAGGGUACCUAGACGGUUUAAUUAGUCCAAAAUAGGAUACGUUUUUACUAGAGUUAUAUAUGAGGAGGUGAGUAUUUGUGGAGUAGAGUUGAAAUUCUUUGAUACCACGAGGACUGGUAACGGCGAAAGCAACCUCUUAUCUAAUAACUGACGUUGAGGGACGAAGGCUCGGGUAGCGAACAGGAUUAGAUACCCUAGUAGUCCAAGCAGAAAAUUAUGAAUGUCAUAGAUUAGAUAUUUUUUAGUUUAUAAAUGAAAGUGUAAGCAUUCCACCUCAAGAGUAAUGUGGCAACGCAGGAACUGAAAUCAUUAGACC